AAUGUUUUGAGGGCAGAGCAUGCAUCUUCAUAAGAAGCCCAGGAGAUGCUUGGCUUGUGAAUGUUUUCUCUGAAUUGCUGCUCGUGACUCCAUCCACCACCAUCAAGAUUGAGAGCACUACAUAAUGAUGGGAGUGCCUGAAGCCACGUCUAAGGGUUUGCUUUAGGCUUCAUCCUCUUUGUACUUCUGUCCCAUUAUCAUCAUCAUCAUCAUCAUCAUCACUAAAUGGUUUUCUUCUUCUUAAAGACAUGCAGCAAGCACUCAAUUAAUGUCCACUAUGAACAACAUUCUAUGCCAGAUACUAGGCUAAGCAUUUUAACAUGAAUUAUCCAAUUUAAUCCUCAUAAUGACUACAUUAGGCAAGAACUCCUACCAUUUGUGACUGGUUUGACAGAGGAGCCCAGCUUUUUCUUGUUUUUCACUAUCUGCUUUUUUGGAGAGGUAUGGCAGAGUGAGGAUAGAAAGUGCAAAUUCAGGAGCCAGCUUGAGUUCCAAUCUCACUCCCAGUGCUUACUCUCUAUGUGACCUUGGAUCAGAUACUUAACUUCUCUGUGCUUCAGCUUGUUCUUCUAUAAAUGGAGAUAGUAAUAGUUCAUACUUUAUAACAGUAUGUGUUAAAUGAGCAAAAGCACUCAGAAAAUUCCCAGUGUAUUACAAGUAUUCAAUAAAUGUUUAGAGUGGCCAUGUCAACCUUCCUCACAUCUACUUAACUCCACACCUCAUGCCCCAGUCUCCCCUAUCCUGAAAAGAUUCCGAUGGCCUGUAACUGCAACCCAGUUCUGGCCAGUAGAGACCAAAAUGGGUUUGUGAAGUAGCCCAUCUCAUCAGGAAAGCCCGUAUUCACUUUCACCUUCACAAAAAGCACAAGGAAAUCCCUUAGGAUGUUUCAGAUGUCCUCUCCAUAACAUUACAGUAUUUUUGUUCAUUCUCCCUCGUCAGCA
rnacentral:lncRNA from 10 species